UACGUAGAAGACUAGUGUUAUUCAUCUUUAAUAGGUUUAAAGGGUACCUAGACGGUAUAAUUAGUCUUUAACAGGAAACGGUUAUACUAGAGUUAUAUAUGAGGAGGUGAGUAUUUGUGGAGUAGAGUUGAAAUUCUUUGAUACCAUGAAGACUGGUAAAGGCGAAAGCAACCUUUUAUCUAAUAACUGACGUUGAGGGACGAAGGCUCAGGUCGCGAACAGG
rnacentral:rRNA from 1 species